AGUGAACGCUGGCGGUAGGCCUAACACAUGCAAGUCGAACGGCAGCACAGUAAGAGCUUGCUCUUACGGGUGGCGAGUGGCGGACGGGUGAGGAAUACAUCGGAAUCUACUUUUUCGUGGGGGAUAACGUAGGGAAACUUACGCUAAUACCGCAUACGACCUACGGGUGAAAGCAGGGGAUCUUCGGACCUUGCGCGAUUGAAUGAGCCGAUGUCGGAUUAGCUAGUUGGCGGGGUAAAGGCCCACCAAGGCGACGAUCCGUAGCUGGUCUGAGAGGAUGAUCAGCCACACUGGAACUGAGACACGGUCCAGGCUCCUACGGGAGGCAGCAGUGGGGAAUAUUGGACAGUGGGCGCAAGCCUGAUCCAGCCAUACCGCGUGGGUGAAGAAGGCCUUCGGGUUGUAAAGCCCUUUUGUUGGGAAAGAAAAGCAGCAGGUUAAUACCCCGCUGUUCUGACGGUACCCAAAGAAUAAGCACCGGCUAACUUCGUG
rnacentral:rRNA from 1 species